rnacentral:lncRNA from 1 species
AUAAUAAUAAUUAAUUAAUUAAUUAAAUUACAAAAAAAAUUACCGGCGGCAUUUUGCCGCCGGCAAUUAGCGGCAGCAUUUUACCGCCGGUAACGACAACAAUCACCGGUGAUAUUCACCGCCGCCGUCCGGUGAAUAUUACCGGCGGCAAAGUCACCGCCGGUAAUUACCGGCGGCAACAUGCCGCCGGUAAUUUGCCGGCAUAUCUCCGCCGUUCGCCGAGGACAUAUAACGGCGGGACCUACCGCCUUUAAUUACCGGCGGCGUGUUUGGCCGCCGGUAAUAGUGUUAACGACGAGAAAAUUACCGGCGGCGAG